rnacentral:rRNA from 1 species
GAUGAACGCUGGCGGCGUGCCUAAUACAUGCAAGUCGAGCGAAUGGAUUGAGAGCUUGCUCUUAUGAAGUUAGCGGCGGACGGGUGAGUAACACGUGGGUAACCUGCCCAUAAGACUGGGAUAACUCCGGGAAACCGGGGCUAAUACCGGAUAACAUUUUGAACCGCAUGGUUCGAAAUUGAAAGGCGGCUUCGGCUGUCACUUAUGGAUGGACCCGCGUCGCAUUAGGUAGUUGGGGAGAUAACGGCUCACCAAGGCAACGAUGCGUAGCCGAACUGGGAGGGUGAUCGGCCAACCUGGGACUGCGACACGGCCCAGACUCCGACGGGAGGCAGCAGUAGGGAAUCUUCCGCAAUGGACGAAAGUCUGCCGGAGCAACGCCGUGUGAGUGAUGAAGGCUUUCGGGUCGUAAAACUCUGUUGUUAGGGAAGAACAAGUGCUAGUUGAAUAAGCUGGCACCUUGACGGUACCUAACCAGAAAGCCACGGCUAACUACGUGCCAGCAGCCGCUGUAA